AUUGAACGCUGGCGGCAGGCUUAACACAUGCAAGUCGAGCGGGGUGAUGGUGCUUGCACUAUCACUUAGCGGCGGACGGGUGAGUAAUGCUUAGGAAUCUGCCUAUUAGUGGGGGACAACAUCUCGAAAGGGAUGCUAAUACCGCAUACGUCCUACGGGAGAAAGCAGGGGAUCACUUGUGACCUUGAGCUAAUAGAUGAGCCUAAGUCGGAUUAGCUAGUUGGUAGGGUAAAGGCCUACCAAGGCGACGAUCUGUAGCGGGUCUUAGUGGAUGAUCCGCCACACUGGGACUGAGACACGGCCCAGACUCCUACGGGAGGCAGCAGUGGGGAAUAUUGGACAAUGGGGGGAACCCUGAUCCAGCCAUGCCGCGUGUGUGAAGAAGGCCUUAUGGUUGUAAAGCACUUUAAGCGAGGAGGAGGCUCUUUUGGUUAAUACCCAAGAUGAGUGGACGUUACUCGCAGAAUAAGCACCGGCUAACUCUGUGCCAGCAGCCGCGGUAA
rnacentral:rRNA from 1 species